rnacentral:lncRNA from 1 species
UGGGCUGGGUUAUCUUGUUGCCAGGUAACUGUGGGGAGGAGCUUACCUGGCUAUUGUCAGGUAACUGUGAGGGUGGAGUCUAGCUAGAAUGCCUGGAACUUGGGGCUUUAUCUGAGUGACUGAUAGUCACAGAACUAUGGAGUUGGGGGCUCUGAGGUUUCAGGCACCUGUCUCUGGGAAGGUGGCUCGCUGUUCCAUCCCUUGUAGAGUUUUCUACUGGGUCUCCGGUGCAAGCUUCACUCAACCAAAACAGGCUGUCUUUCACGGUCCCACAGCAUACCACCUUGCUGGGAUCAAAAAGGGCUCUUCACUUUUGUUUAGGAUUAAGUUAAUUCACCUUGAGACAUUAUUCUUUACAGUGUGGCUCUUGAAAUAUGCUACAUUCACACUGAGUAAGAUCUGUUUUGAGCCAGUCUUUGAAGUCUGACCCAUCUGCAUGCUUACCCAGUAUAUGUGCAUACCAGGAGCUUCUGGUAGGCUCUUGGGAAAAGCAACUGUUUUCUCACUGUGUGAGUACCUGCUCUUGGUCUUCUCAUACUUCUGAAAUCGUUUCCAGCCUCAUGUAGUUUUCUCAUAUGGACAGAGUGUAAUUGUCUACCUGUGUGGGAUACUUUAGUGCUCUCUGGAGCUGUCCUGUUUGCCUCUGUCCUAUGAAUGGGGAGCACACUGGUCUUCUUGAGACUCAGUUCUAGUUGCAGGGCUCCAGUUCUCUGCAGCUUCCACAUGAGCUUCUUGACUAUUUUCUCCAUUCUAGUGUCAACUCCUCUCCAAUCAACAUACGGCUGCAGGACUUCAAGGCUAAGGCAGCAAGAAAAGAAAUCCUUCCAUAUUCAAGUAUUUGAUUUGGAAUUUGAUGUACAGUAUUUCUC